GUACUGAGACACGGACCAGACUCCUACGGGAGGCAGCAGUGGGGAAUCUUGCACAAUGGGGUCACCCCUGAUGCAGCCAUGCCGCGUGGAGGAAGACACCCCUAUGGGGCGUAAACUCCUUUUCUGAAUGAAGAAACCCCUGUAGGUUCAGGGCGCGACGGUAGUUCAGGAAUAAGCACCGGCUAACUCCGUGCCAGCAGCCGCGGUAAUACGGAGGGUGCAAGCGUUGCCCGGAAUCACUGGGUGUAAAGGGUGUGCAGGCGGGGCAACAAGUCGGAGGUGAAAGCCCGUGGCUCAACCACGGAAGUGCCUUCGAAACUGUUGCUCUUGAGUCCCGGAGAGGUUGCCGGAAUUCGUGGUGUAGCGGUGAAAUGCGUAGAUAUCACGAGGAACACUAGAGGCGAAAGCGGGCAACUGGACGGGUACUGACGCUCAGGCACGAAAGCGCGGGGAGCAAACAGGAUUAGAUACCCUGGUAGUCCGCGCCGUAAACGAUGAAUGCUCGCCGUUACCCCGCUUAAGGGAUAGUGGCUAAGCUAACGCGUUAAGCAUUCCGCCUGGGGAGUACGAUCGCAAGGUUGAAACUCAAAGGAAUUGACGG
rnacentral:rRNA from 1 species